rnacentral:rRNA from 1 species
AAAUUGAAGAGUUUGAUCAUGGCUCAGAUUGAACGCUGGCGGCAGGCCUAACACAUGCAAGUCGAACGGUAACAGGAAGCAGCUUGCUGCUUCGCUGACGAGUGGCGGACGGGUGAGUAAUGUCUGGGAAACUGCCUGAUGGAGGGGGAUAACUACUGGAAACGGUGGCUAAUACCGCAUAACGUCGCAAGACCAAAGAGGGGGACCUUCGGGCCUCUUGCCAUCAGAUGUGCCCAGAUGGGAUUAGCUUGUUGGUGAGGUAACGGCUCACCAAGGCGACGAUCCCUAGCUGGUCUGAGAGGAUGACCAGCCACACUGGAACUGAGACACGGUCCAGACUCCUACGGGAGGCAGCAGUGGGGAAUAUUGCACAAUGGGCGCAAGCCUGAUGCAGCCAUGCCGCGUGUAUGAAGAAGGCCUUCGGGUUGUAAAGUACUUUCAGCGGGGAGGAAGGUGUUGUGGUUAAUAACCGCAGCAAUUGACGUUACCCGCAGAAGAAGCACCGGCUAACUCCGUGCCAGCAGCCGCGGUAAUACGGAGGGUGCAAGCGUUAAUCGGAAUUACUGGGCGUAAAGCGCACGCAGGCGGUCUGUCAAGUCGGAUGUGAAAUCCCCGGGCUCAACCUGGGAACUGCAUUCGAAACUGGCAGGCUUGAGUCUUGUAGAGGGGGGUAGAAUUCCAGGUGUAGCGGUGAAAUGCGUAGAGAUCUGGAGGAAUACCGGUGGCGAAGGCGGCCCCCUGGACAAAGACUGACGCUCAGGUGCGAAAGCGUGGGGAGCAAACAGGAUUAGAUACCCUGGUAGUCCACGCCGUAAACGAUGUCUACUUGGAGGUUGUGCCCUUGAGGCGUGGCUUCCGGAGCUAACGCGUUAAGUAGACCGCCCGGGAGUACGGCCGCAAGGUUAAAACUCAAAUGAAUUGACGGGGGCCCGCACAAGCGGUGGAGCAUGUGGUUUAAUUCGAUGCAACGCGAAGAACCUUACCUGGUCUUGACAUCCACAGAAGAAUCCAGAGAUGGAUUUGUGCCUUCGGGAACUGUGAGACAGGUGCUGCAUGGCUGUCGUCAGCUCGUGUUGUGAAAUGUUGGGUUAAGUCCCGCAACGAGCGCAACCCUUAUCCUUUGUUGCCAGCGGUUAGGCCGGGAACUCAAAGGAGACUGCCAGUGAUAAACUGGAGGAAGGUGGGGAUGACGUCAAGUCAUCAUGGCCCUUACGACCAGGGCUACACACGUGCUACAAUGGCGCAUACAAAGAGAAGCGACCUCGCGAGAGCAAGCGGACCUCAUAAAGUGCGUCGUAGUCCGGAUUGGAGUCUGCAACUCGACUCCAUGAAGUCGGAAUCGCUAGUAAUCGUGGAUCAGAAUGCCACGGUGAAUACGUUCCCGGGCCUUGUACACACCGCCCGUCACACCAUGGGAGUGGGUUGCAAAAGAAGUAGGUAGCUUAACCUUCGGGAGGGCGCUUACCACUUUGUGAUUCAUGACUGGGGUGAAGUCGUAACAAGGUAACCGUAGGGGAACCUGCGGUUGGAUCACCUCCUUACCUUAAAGAA